rnacentral:lncRNA from 1 species
CCCCUCCGCCCCAGGUCCAGUCCUGUACCCCUAGCCCCUCCACCCCAGGUCCAGUCCUGUGCCCCUACCCCAGGUCCAGUCCUGUACCCCUAGCCCCUCCACCCCAGGUCCAGUCCUGUGCCCCUCCACCCCAGGUCCAGUCCUGUACCCCUAGCCCCUCCACCCCAGGUCCAGUCCUGUACCCCUAGCCCCUCCGCCCCCAGGUCCAGUCCUGUGCCCCUCCGCCCCAGGUCCAGUCUUGUACCCCUAGCCCCUCCGCCCCAGGUCCAGUCCUGUGCCCCUCCACCCCAGGUCCAGUCCUGUACCCCUAGCCCCUCCACCCCAGGUCCAGUCCUGUGCCCCUACCCCAGGUCCAGUCCUGUACCCCUAGCCCCUCCGCCCCAGGUCCAGUCUUGUACCCCUAGCCCCUCCGCCCCAGGUCCAGUCUUGUACCCCUAGCCCCUCCGCCCCAGGUCCAGUCUUGUACCCCUAGCCCCUCCGCCCCAGGUCCAGUCUUGUACCCCUAGCCCCUCCGCCCCUGGUCCAGUCUUGUACCCCUAGCCCCUCCGCCCCAGGUCCAGUCCUGUACGCCUAGCCCCUCCGCCCCAGGUCCAGUCCUGUACCCCUAGCCCCUCUGCCCCAGGUCCAGUCCUGUACCCCUAGCCCCUCUGCCCCAGGUCCAGUCUUGUGCCCCUCCGCCCCAGGUCCAGUCUUGUGCCCCUCCGCCCCAGGUCCAGUCUUGUGCCCCUCCGCCCCAGGUCCAGUCUUGUGCCCCUCCGCCCCAGGUCCAGUCUUGUACCCCUAGCCCCUCCGCCCCAGGUCCAGUCUUGUACCCCUAGCCCCUCCGCCCCAGGUCCAGUCUUGUACCCCUAGCCCCUCCGCCCCAGGUCCAGUCUUGUACCCCUAGCCCCUCCGCCCCAGGUCCAGUCUUGUACCCCUAGCCCCUCCGCCCCAGGUCCAGUCUUGUGCCCCAGGUCCAGUCUUGUGCCCCUAGCCCCUCCGCCCCAGUCUUGUGCCCCUAGCCCCUCCGCCCCAGGUCCAGUCUUGUGCCCCAGGUCCAGUCUUGUGCCCCUAGCCCCUCCGCCCCAGGUCCAGUCCUGUGCCCCAGGUCCAGUCCUGUGCCCCUCCGCCCCAGGCCCAGUCCUGUGCCCCUCCGCCCCAGGCCCAGUCCUGUGCCCCUCCGCCCCAGGCCCAGUCCUGUGCCCCUCCGCCCCAGGCCCAGUCCUGUGCCCCUCCGCCCCAGGCCCAGUCCUGUGCCCCUCCGCCCCAGGUCCCAGUCCUGUGACCCUCCACCCCAGGCCC